GAUGAAGAACGUAGCGAAAUGCGAUAAGUAAUGUGAAUUGCAGAAUUCAGUGAAUCAUCGAAUCUUUGAACGCACCUUGCACUCCUUGGUAUUCCGAGGAGUACGCCUGUUCAAGUGUUAUGAAGCUCUCAAAACGCAAUUGGCUUAAAACCUGAUUGUUGUUUUGGAUUUGAACUUUGCCGUGUUAUAACGGCUGGUUUUAAAAGUAUUAGCUGGUACUAGAACGAAUUUGUUCUACUCAACGUGAUAAUUAUCUGAUCGUUGAGGACAUUCCUUUCACGAGGAAUGGCCAUAGUAAAUUCAAUGGACUGCUUCUAAUCUGGCUUUAAUUCUUUAUUGGAUUAACCACUUUUCAAAUCUGACCUCGAAUCAGGUGGGACUACCCGCUGAACUUAAGCAUAUCAAUAAGCGGAGGA
rnacentral:misc_RNA from 1 species